GAGGAAUAUUGGUCAAUGGGCGGAAGCCUGAACCAGCCAUGCCGCGUGCAGGACGACGGCCCUACGGGUUGUAAACUGCUUUUCCGGGGGAAGAAUAACCCCCCUGCGGGGGGGGAUGCCGGUACCCCGGGAAUAAGGAUCGGCUAACUCCGUGCCAGCAGCCGCGGUAAUACGGAGGAUCCUAGCGUUAUCCGGAUUUACUGGGUUUAAAGGGUGCGUAGGCGGGCGCUUAAGUCCGCGGUGAAAGUCUGCGGCUCAACCGUAGGAUUGCCGUGGAUACUGGGCGUCUUGGAUUCGGUCGGGGCGGGCGGAAUGCGUGGUGUAGCGGUGAAAUGCAUAGAUAUCACGCAGAACGCCGAUAGCGAAGGCAGCUCGCCGGGCCGAUAUCGACGCAGAGGCACGAAAGCGUGGGGAUCAAAC
rnacentral:rRNA from 1 species